GACAGCUGCACUUAUUAAAUCUUGAGAAAAGCAGUAAAGUGAUUUAGGGGGGAAAAAGCAAGAGCAGAGGGCGCGAUAAAAACCCCUGCACUGGGGCAGACUGCCUCGCUUUGAAUUCCCGAACGCUCAGUAUCUUCUAGGGUGAACUAUGUAAAAUUUUAAUGCCUCAUUUAUAAGUAGGCCCCCCUAAGGCUUAAAGUAAAAUGUCCACCAUAACCACGUGGAGGGCUUGUUAAUGAGAUUGCAGGUCCCCACUCGUACAGUUUCCGAUCCUGUUGGUCUAGAAUUGUGCAUCUCUAGCAAAUUAUUGGGUGAUAGUGACGCGGCUGGUCCUAAGAACACAGGAACCCCAAGUGUUUCGUCACAGGAGCUCAAUGUCCACUAGUAACAUCACCAUCCAAGCUGCCCACCAGCACGGGCCGUGGGAUAUUGCACUGCAGCGAGGAGCGACGGCCUCUGUCCAGAUGUUCCUGCCAACACAUCCUGCCUCCUCCGCGGGGAACAGGGUGGAAAAGGGAGGCAGCUGGAGCAGCGGUGUCGCUGCUUCACGGAAGGGGACCCCCUCUUCUCCAACUUCCACCUCUGGGUACAAGCAGAGGCCGUUCGCCCCUAAGUCCUUUCCCCUCGAUUCCGCGGCCUUUUGCUUCUUGCCCUGGAGAGAGCCUGUCCUCCGGGCAAAGCUAAGGCCAAUGAAGAGAUUCCGCCACCCGGGGCGGGCUGGAGGCAGAUGCGGAGCGGACGCUGGAGCCUGGAGGGAAGGCGUGGCGGGGCGCAGGGCGGUGCGCUCUGGUCUCGCCCGCUCUUGGGUCAACACCGAUAGCCCGAGGCCGGAAGGCUGAGCGGAAGAUGGCUGCCCGGAGCGCCGCGGACAGUCACGUGCCACGGCGGUUCAGCCGCGCGCCCCUCCCCCUCGCCGACUCCCUGACCCUAUGGGGGGCGCAGCCUGGGGCUGCGUCUCCGCCACGGGGUUACAGCGAGGGCCGGCCAGGGAGGGAGAGCGCCGCGACAGAAGACAAGCUCCCCCGGCCGUCCGCCCCUAACCGGGUGCGAGGGUCCGCCUCGGGGAGCCAAGGAAAACCUUGCUUCGGGCGACCUGCACCAGGGUGAGGGCAGCAUGAACGAUCCCUGAAUGUUCCUUUGGGUAUAUUUAGCCGCUCGUUUUUGAUUAGGAGAGAGAAGACGGCCAUCCACUGGAAAGGCAAAGCUUCAGUGACUGAAGGAGUUGUGGAUUUUCUGAAUUUCAAGGACAGCAAAGUAGGAGCCUAGCAGAGGGUGUAUAAAAGACGACACAUUGGAAGGAAGAUCAAUGAAGAAAAAUAACAACAUGAU
rnacentral:lncRNA from 1 species